GGCAUAUUUCACUCCUCUUCUUUCUUCCUUGUCGAGAAGCCUCAGGUUCUGCACCUUCUCCGCUUUCUUGCACAGCCAUGUUGGAUGCAGUAAGCCACCCACUCCUUUCCUCUCUCCUUAGCUGUUAUUGGGACAUCCAAACUAUGCCAAUUCCAUCAGCACUCCAGAUGAGGCAAGACAGAAGCCAGUCCCUCCCUCGGGCAGACUAUGAAAAGCCUGGAUACAUUAGAUGCAUACUUCCCUCUCUCUUUUUCCUUCAGGGAGAUGUUACAAGACAAGAUGAUUUCACUGGAAGCUGAGUUUUGCCAGCUUUGGGGAAAUGCUGAUGCAGAACAUCAUUUAUUUAAGGCUGAUACUCAUGGAUAGAAGAGUCAAAGUGCGAAUAUAUGCACCCUUCUAUACGGAUUCUGCAGAAAGAUAUGCUUGGGUCAUGACUCAGACAAUUUGGAGAGAAUUCCCUGAAACAUUCACUGUACAACUCUACUUUCUUGAAUACUUACUAUAAUUAAAGUUCAUUUCUGAUUUACAUAAAGACCAAUGAGCAUGCUAGAGAAUUUCUGCUUCAGGUAGUUAUUCAAGAAAACAGUACUAUGGAAGCUUUACCAUCUUCACUUUGUGGAUUUCAUAUCUAUUUCUACCUGGAAAAGAAGAGAAAGAUAGAGUACAAAAUUGCAAAAGGGGUUUUUAUAGGCAAUGACUUCAAGUGUAGCAUAUUACUUCUACCUGCAUUCCAUUGUCUGGAUGUGGAAUUCACUCAUAUGUGUACAUUUAACAGCAAGAAAGAUAGAGCUAGUUCCCUUAAGAAAAGAGAGAGGUAUUCACUCAAUAGCUCGAUAAUUUCUGCCACAAUGAAAGUAAGAUAUGCAUUACAAAAUUGUUCUAUUCUCUUUUCAAAUAACUCAUUUUAAAUUGGUUGCUGAGACAUUUCCUUGGAGCAUAGUAACAGUUUCUUACUCACUCAACAUAAUUUCCAUAAUGCAAAUGAAAAAAAAACUGGUAAAUAUAGGUUAUAGUGUUACUUGUUAAAAGUGUUUUCCACAUACAAAAUUUUAUUUGCAUAUGGUGUCCUUUGAAAAAGAAGCACUUAAGAUUUUUUAAUCUCUUAAAGUUAGGCAUUUAAAUCUAGUUAAAUUCAAAUUGUGAUAUAUUUUGUAUAACAUCUUCAAAAUUUAUAUCAGUAUAAAACAAGUUCAGUUAAAAAUCUACUGCAUACACACCACCUUAGGUCUACUGUAUACAAGAAAUGACACAAAAAAUUCUUCUAGAGUUUGAAACUGUCUGAAAGAUUUUUGUUUUCAAUCACACGCAGAGGGUUUAAAUAAUGAAAAAACCAUGCUGUAAUUUUUUAUAAUGUUUCUGAAACAAUAACAGCAAAAACACAAUUUAAGAAGAAAAAAGAUGAGAAAAAAUUAUUAACAAUUAACAAUAACAAAUAAGAAAUUAAGAAAUACAUUCAUUUAAAAAUUAGUUAUUUGGAGUGCUUAACACAAACUAUAGUUCAUGAACUUUUACCUACCUAGACAUGGUUUAUAAUAUUCUUUAAUUAUCAAAAUAUGUUUCAAAAAUGUAUUACUUAUACAAAUAUGAGCUAUCAUUUGAUGAGUAAGACAGACACUUGUAGCUAAAAAAAUUCAUGUAAAGAGCAUAUGCAUUUCCAUAUAUUAAACAGUGAAAGGCGUAACAGAGGAACUUUGCCACUUUACAUGAAACAUUUUGUUUCUAAACUUUUGAAAAGAUUGAAUUGGCAGAUACAAUUCAAGUUGAGAUUUGGUUGGGGACACGGCCAAACCAUAUCAAUAACUUUAUGUAAAUUAUUUAUAUUGAUCAUUCUUUUGUAUCCAAAUAUAUAAACACAUAAGUAAUAUAUGUUCUGUCCAGGUUUUGUGUGUGUGUGUGAUAUUCACUGUAAAAACCUGGUAGAGAUUGAGAGGCAAAAAUCCCAAGAGUGUGAGGAACCACCUAUGACUGUCUCCCUGGAGUUUUUAAGUCUCAGAGUUGUCCACACUGAACCUACAACAAUUCAUAAAUCAUAGUUCAUGUUUUUCCACAUAGGCACGGGGUUCUUUGGACAUUGCUGCUCUGGUAUGUUGUGAUUAUCUGUAUUCACCUCUUGCUGUCUCCAAUUUAGAGGACAGCUGUUUGACCUGUCACCUCACUGCUCUUAUGGUCUAAGAAAACUCAUUAAUUUAUCAAUGUCUUCAGUUUUUUACUUUUUGGACAGAAUGAUGACUUCCAUGCUUCUUACAUGCUGGACUGAAAACUGAAAGCCAUAUGUAUGUUUUCAGAGGAUAACUCUUUGUGAAAUUAUUUAACAAGUACGACCUACUGUCUGUGUAAAUAUCGCAUGUAUUUACUUUAUACAGUCUUCCUUACUCACAGUGAAAAUCUAAAAUAUUUAUGGUGCUCUAUAUCAAUUCAUCACUUCUGUCAGUAAGAGAGAAAGUGAGAAAGAGAGAGAAAUGAAGACACAUAGGCACGCACACACACACACGCACUCACA
rnacentral:lncRNA from 1 species